rnacentral:rRNA from 1 species
CCUACGGGAGGCAGCAGUGAGGAAUAUUGGUCAAUGGGCGCGAGCCUGAACCAGCCAAGUCGCGUGAGGGAAGACGGUCCUAUGGAUUGUAAACCUCUUUUGUCGGGGAGCAAAAGACGCCACGCGUGGCGCUCCGAGAGUACCCGAAGAAAAAGCAUCGGCUAACUCCGUGCCAGCAGCCGCGGUAAUACGGAGGAUGCGAGAGUUAUCCGGAUUUAUUGGGUUUAAAGGGUGCGCAGGCGGAAGAUCAAGUCAGCGGUAAAAUUGAGAGGCUCAAUCUCUUCGAGCCGUUGAAACUGGUUAGCUUGAGUGAGUGAGAGGUAUGCGGAAUGCGUGGUGUAGAGGUGAAAUGCAUAGAUAUCACGCAGAACUCCGAUUGCGAAGGCAGCAUACCGGCGCUCAACUGACGCUCAUGCACGAAAGUGUGGGUAUCGAACAGGAUUAGAUACCCGUGUAGUC